GAUGAACGCUGGCGGCGUGCCUAAUACAUGCAAGUCGAGCGAACAGACGAGGUGCUUGCUCCACUUGCGUUAGCGGCGGACGGGUGAGUAACACGUGGAUAACCUACCUAUAAGACUGGGAUAACUUCGGGAAACCGGUGCUAAUACCGCAUAAAAUCUUGAAACACAUGGUUCAACAGUGAAAGACGGUCUUGCUUUCACUUAUAGAUAUAUCCGCGUCGCAUUAGCUAGUUGGUAAGGUAAGGGCUUACCAAGGCAACGAUGCUUAGCCGACCUGAGGGGGUGAUCGGCCACACUGGAACGGAGACACGGUCCAGACUCCUACGGGAGGCAGCAGUAGGGAAUCUUCCGCAAUGGGCGAAAGCCUGACGGAGCAACGCCGCGUGAGUGAAGAAGGUCUUCGGAUCGUAAAACUCUGUUAUUAGGGAAGAACAAAUGUGUAAGUAACUAUGCACGUCUUGACGGUACCUAAUCAGAAAGCCACGGCUAACUACGUG
rnacentral:rRNA from 1 species